UGAGGAAUAUUGGUCAAUGGUCGGGAGACUGAACCAGCCAAGCCGCGUGAGGGGUGAAGGUGCUAAGCAUUGUAAACCUCUUUUGUCAGGGAACAAAGGCAUCCACGAGUGGAUGUGUGAGUGUACCUGAAGAAAAAGCAUCGGCUAACUCCGUGCCAGCAGCCGCGGUAAUACGGAGGAUGCGAGCGUUAUCCGGAUUUAUUGGGUUUAAAGGGUGCGUAGGCGGCCUGUUAAGUCAGCGGUAAAAGCCCGGGGCUCAACCCGCGAGCGUGAACUGCUGGCUGGAGUUGGCGAGAGGUAUGGCGGAAUGCGCGGUGUAGCGGUGAAAUGCUUAGAUAUCGCGCAGAACUCCGAUUGCGAAGGCAGCAUGCCGGCGCCACACUGACGCUGAGGCACGAAAGCGUGGGGAUCAAACAGGAUUAGAUACC
rnacentral:rRNA from 1 species